GCGCCAGUCCAUGAAAGGUGGAUGAAGGUGAGUUUGACUACGAACUCGAGGAUGCUGGGAACGAUCUCUUUUCGGGGAAUCACUCCCGUCGAGAGGCCCUCUUCCUCCCUUUUUCUGAAUCUGGUAGAGAGGCAAAAGAGAAGUCCAGAGAGACCUCGACUCUUUCAGGGAAAGGAGGGAGAUCGAAUGCGAGAUGGAGUCCCUGCCGAAUGGAAUGGACAUCCUUGGGGACAGCUGUGUAAGACUUAAUUUACCAAAAAAUGGGACGGAAAAACUACUAAAAAGAUCACAAGAAACCCAGCUCAAAGUGAAUGGAGAGAGAACCCCUGCGCCUUGGAAGGAUCUGAAGCUAUUCGGACACUCAUAGACAAGUGA
rnacentral:rRNA from 1 species